GGGGCAUCAGAAGAAAGCUUGCUUUCUUGCUGGCGACCGGCGCACGGGUGAGUAACACGUAUCCACCUGCCCUUUACUCGGGGAUAGCCUUUCGAAAGAAAGAUUAAUACCCGAUAGCUCCGCAUGGUUAAAGGAUUCCGGUAAAGGAUGGGGAUGCGUUCCAUUAGGUUGUUGGUGAGGUAACGGCUCACCAAGCCUUCGAUGGAUAGGGGUUCUGAGAGGAAGGUCCCCCACAUUGGAACUGAGACACGGUCCAAACUCCUACGGGAGGCAGCAGUGAGGAAUAUUGGUCAAUGGGCGCUAGCCUGAACCAGCCAAGUAGCGUGAAGGAUGAAGGCUUAUGGGUCGUAAACUUCUUUUAUAUAAGAAUAAGUGCAGUAUGUAUACUGUUUUGUAUGUAUUAUAUGAAUAAGGAUCGGCUAACUCCGUGCCAGCAGCCGCGGUAAUACGGAGGAUCCGAGCGUUAUCCGGAUUUAUUGGGUUUAAAGGGAGCGUAGGUGGACUGGUAAGUCAGUUGUGAAAGUUUGCGGCUCAACCGUAAAAUUGCAGUUGAUACUGUCAGUCUUGAGUACAGUAGAGGUGGGCGGAAUUCGUGGUGUAGCGGUGAAAUGCUUAGAUAUCACGAAGAACUCCGAUUGCGAAGGCAGCUCACUGGACUGCAACUGACACUGAUGCUCGAAAGUGUGGGUAUCAAACAGGAUUAGAUACCCUGGUAGU
rnacentral:rRNA from 1 species